rnacentral:rRNA from 1 species
UUAAGCGACUAAGCGUACACGGUGGAUGCCCUGGCAGUCAGAGGCGAUGAAGGACGUGCUAAUCUGCGAAAAGCGUCGGUAAGGUGAUAUGAACCGUUACAGCCGGCGAUGUCCGAAUGGGGAAACCCAGUGCAAUUCGUUGCACUAUCGUUUGAUGAAUACAUAGUCAAACGAGGCGAACCGGGGGAACUGAAACAUCUAAGUACCCCGAGGAAAAGAAAUCAACCGAGAUUCCCCCAGUAGCGGCGAGCGAACGGGGAGCAGCCCGGAGUCUGAAUCAGCUUGUGUGUUAGUGGAAGCGUCUGGAAAGUCGCAGGGUACAGGGUGAUACUCCCGUACACUAAAACAUACAGGUUGUGAACUCGAAGAGUAGGGCGGGACACGUGGUAUCCUGUCUGAAUAUGGGGGGACCAUCCUCCAAGGCUAAAUACUCCUGACUGACCGAUAGUGAACCAGUACCGUGAGGGAAAGGCGAAAAGAACCCCGGCGAGGGGAGUGAAAAAGAACCUGAAACCGUGUACGUACAAGCAGUAGGAGCCCACUUGUUGGGUGACUGCGUACCUUUUGUAUAAUGGGUCAGCGACUUAUAUUCUGUAGCAAGGUUAACCGUAUAGGGGAGCCGCAGGGAAACCGAGUCUUAACUGGGCGUUAAGUUGCAGGGUAUAGACCCGAAACCCGGUGAUCUAGCCAUGGGCAGGUUGAAGGUUGGGUAACACUAACUGGAGGACCGAACCGACUAAUGUUGAAAAAUUAGCGGAUGACUUGUGGCUGGGGGUGAAAGGCCAAUCAAACCGGGAGAUAGCUGGUUCUCCCCGAAAGCUAUUUAGGUAGCGCCUCGUGAAUUCAUCUUCGGGGGUAGAGCACUGUUUCGGCUAGGGGGUCAUCCCGACUUACCAACCCGAUGCAAACUACGAAUACCGAAGAAUGUUAUCACGGGAGACACACGGCGGGUGCUAACGUCCGUCGUGAAGAGGGAAACAACCCAGACCGCCAGCUAAGGUCCCAAAGUCAUGGUUAAGUGGGAAACGAUGUGGGAAGGCCCAGACAGCCAGGAUGUUGGCUUAGAAGCAGCCAUCAUUUAAAGAAAGCGUAAUAGCUCACUGGUCGAGUCGGCCUGCGCGGAAGAUGUAACGGGGCUAAACCAUGCACCGAAGCUGCGGCAGCGACACUAUGUGUUGUUGGGUAGGGGAGCGUUCUGUAAGCCGUUGAAGGUGGCCUGUGAGGGUUGCUGGAGGUAUCAGAAGUGCGAAUGCUGACAUAAGUAACGAUAAUGCGGGUGAAAAACCCGCACGCCGGAAGACCAAGGGUUCCUGUCCAACGUUAAUCGGGGCAGGGUGAGUCGACCCCUAAGGCGAGGCCGAAAGGCGUAGUCGAUGGGAAACAGGUUAAUAUUCCUGUACUUGGUGUUACUGCGAAGGGGGGACGGAGAAGGCUAUGUUGGCCGGGCGACGGUUGUCCCGGUUUAAGCGUGUAGGUGUGUGUUCCAGGUAAAUCCGGUUCACUUUAACACUGAGGCGUGAUGACGAGGCACUACGGUGCUGAAGUGACAAAUGCCCUGCUUCCAGGAAAAGCCUCUAAGCAUCAGGUAACAUCAAAUCGUACCCCAAACCGACACAGGUGGUCAGGUAGAGAAUACCAAGGCGCUUGAGAGAACUCGGGUGAAGGAACUAGGCAAAAUGGUGCCGUAACUUCGGGAGAAGGCACGCUGAUAUGUAGGUGAAGUGGUUUACCCAUGGAGCUGAAAUCAGUCGAAGAUACCAGCUGGCUGCAACUGUUUAUUAAAAACACAGCACUGUGCAAACACGAAAGUGGACGUAUACGGUGUGACGCCUGCCCGGUGCCGGAAGGUUAAUUGAUGGGGUUAUCCGUAAGGAGAAGCUCUUGAUCGAAGCCCCGGUAAACGGCGGCCGUAACUAUAACGGUCCUAAGGUAGCGAAAUUCCUUGUCGGGUAAGUUCCGACCUGCACGAAUGGCGUAAUGAUGGCCAGGCUGUCUCCACCCGAGACUCAGUGAAAUUGAACUCGCUGUGAAGAUGCAGUGUACCCGCGGCAAGACGGAAAGACCCCGUGAACCUUUACUAUAGCUUGACACUGAACACUGGUCCUUGAUGUGUAGGAUAGGUGGGAGGCUUUGAAGUGUGGACGCCAGUCUGCAUGGAGCCAUCCUUGAAAUACCACCCUUUAAUGGCUGGUGUUCUAACGUGGGCCCGUAAUCCGGGUUGCGGACAGUGUCUGGUGGGUAGUUUGACUGGGGCGGUCUCCUCCUAAAGAGUAACGGAGGAGCACGAAGGUCAGCUAAUCCUGGUCGGACAUCAGGAGGUUAGUGCAAUGGCAUAAGCUGGCUUGACUGCGAGCGUGACGGCGCGAGCAGGUGCGAAAGCAGGUCAUAGUGAUCCGGUGGUUCUGAAUGGAAGGGCCAUCGCUCAACGGAUAAAAGGUACUCCGGGGAUAACAGGCUGAUACCGCCCAAGAGUUCAUAUCGACGGCGGUGUUUGGCACCUCGAUGUCGGCUCAUCACAUCCUGGGGCUGAAGUAGGUCCCAAGGGUAUGGCUGUUCGCCAUUUAAAGUGGUACGCGAGCUGGGUUUAGAACGUCGUGAGACAGUUCGGUCCCUAUCUGCCGUGGGCGCUGGAGAAUUGAGGGGGGCUGCUCCUAGUACGAGAGGACCGGAGUGGACGCAUCACUGGUGUUCGGGUUGUCAUGCCAAUGGCAUUGCCCGGUAGCUAAAUGCGGAAGAGAUAAGUGCUGAAAGCAUCUAAGUACGAAACUUGCCCCGAGAUGAGUUCUCCCUGACUCCUUGAGAGUCCUGAAGGAACGUUGAAGACGACGACGUUGAUAGGCCGGGUGUGUAAGCGCAGCGAUGCGUUGAGCUAACCGGUACUAAUGAACCGUGAGGCUUAACCU